CACGCCGUAAACGAUGAGCACUAGGUGUCGGGGUCGCAAGGCUUCGGUGCCGCAGUUAACGCAUUAAGUGCUCCGCCUGGGGAGUACGCACGCAAGUGUGAAACUCAAAGGAAUUGACGGGGACCCGCACAAGCAGCGGAGCAUGUGGUUUAAUUCGAAGCAACGCGAAGAACCUUACCAGGGCUUGACAUCCCUCUGACCGGCCGGUAACGCGGCCUUCCCUUCGGGGCAGAGGUGACAGGUGGUGCAUGGUUGUCGUCAGCUCGUGUCGUGAGAUGUUGGGUUAAGUCCCGCAACGAGCGCAACCCUUGUCAUUAGUUGCCAUCAUUCAGUUGGGCACUCUAGUGAGACUGCCGGGGACAACUCG
rnacentral:rRNA from 1 species